CCAAAGUCAUGGUUAAGUGGGAAACGAUGUGGGAAGGCCCAGACAGCCAGGAUGUUGGCUUAGAAGCAGCCAUCAUUUAAAGAAAGCGUAAUAGCUCACUGGUCGAGUCGGCCUGCGCGGAAGAUGUAACGGGGCUAAACCAUGCACCGAAGCUGCGGCAGCGACACUAUGUGUUGUUGGGUAGGGGAGCGUUCUGUAAGCCUGUGAAGGUGGCCUGUGAGGGUUGCUGGAGGUAUCAGAAGUGCGAAUGCUGACAUAAGUAACGAUAAAGCGGGUGAAAAGCCCGCUCGCCGGAAGACCAAGGGUUCCUGUCCAACGUUAAUCGGGGCAGGGUGAGUCGACCCCUAAGGCGAGGCCGAAAGGCGUAGUCGAUGGGAAACAGGUUAAUAUUCCUGUACUUGGUGUUACUGCGAAGGGGGGACGGAGAAGGCUAUGUUGGCCGGGCGACGGUUGUCCCGGUUUAAGCGUGUAGGCUGGUUUUCCAGGCAAAUCCGGAAAACCAAGGCUGAGGCGUGAUGACGAGGCACUACGGUGCUGAAGCGACAAAUGCCCUGCUUCCAGGAAAAGCCUCUAAGCAUCAGGUAACAUCAAAUCGUACCCCAAACCGACACAGGUGGUCAGGUAGAGAAUACCAAGGCGCUUGAGAGAACUCGGGUGAAGGAACUAGGCAAAAUGGUGCCGUAACUUCGGGAGAAGGCACGCUGAUAUGUAGGUGAAGCGACUUGCUCGUGGAGCUGAAAUCAGUCGAAGAUACCAGCUGGCUGCAACUGUUUAUUAAAAACACAGCACUGUGCAAACACGAAAGUGGACGUAUACGGUGUGACGCCUGCCCGGUGCCGGAAGGUUAAUUGAUGGGGUUAGCGGCAACGCGAAGCUCUUGAUCGAAGCCCCGGUAAACGGCGGCCGUAACUAUAACGGUCCUAAGGUAGCGAAAUUCCUUGUCGGGUAAGUUCCGACCUGCACGAAUGGCGUAAUGAUGGCCAGGCUGUCUCCACCCGAGACUCAGUGAAAUUGAACUCGCUGUGAAGAUGCAGUGUACCCGCGGCAAGACGGAAAGACCCCGUGAACCUUUACUAUAGCUUGACACUGAACAUUGAGCCUUGAUGUGUAGGAUAGGUGGGAGGCUUUGAAGUGUGGACGCCAGUCUGCAUGGAGCCGACCUUGAAAUACCACCCUUUAAUGUUUGAUGUUCUAACGUUGGCCCGUAAUCCGGGUUGCGGACAGUGUCUGGUGGGUAGUUUGACUGGGGCGGUCUCCUCCUAAAGAGUAACGGAGGAGCACGAAGGUUGGCUAAUCCUGGUCGGACAUCAGGAGGUUAGUGCAAUGGCAUAAGCCAGCUUGACUGCGAGCGUGACGGCGCGAGCAGGUGCGAAAGCAGGUCAUAGUGAUCCGGUGGUUCUGAAUGGAAGGGCCAUCGCUCAACGGAUAAAAGGUACUCCGGGGAUAACAGGCUGAUACCGCCCAAGAGUUCAUAUCGACGGCGGUGUUUGGCACCUCGAUGUCGGCUCAUCACAUCCUGGGGCUGAAGUAGGUCCCAAGGGUAUGGCUGUUCGCCAUUUAAAGUGGUACGCGAGCUGGGUUUAGAACGUCGUGAGACAGUUCGGUCCCUAUCUGCCGUGGGCGCUGGAGAACUGAGGGGGGCUGCUCCUAGUACGAGAGGACCGGAGUGGACGCAUCACUGGUGUUCGGGUUGUCAUGCCAAUGGCACUGCCCGGUAGCUAAAUGCGGAAGAGAUAAGUGCUGAAAGCAUCUAAGCACGAAACUUGCCCCGAGAUGAGUUCUCCCUGACUCCUUGAGAGUCCUGAAGGAACGUUGAAGACGACGACGUUGAUAGGCCGGGUGUGUAAGCGCAGCGAUGCGUUGAGCUAACCGGUACUAAUGAACCGUGAGGCUUAACCUU
rnacentral:rRNA from 1 species